rnacentral:sRNA from 1 species
CAGUUAAGUGACUAAAGUAUAUUGGGA